UCCAAAUGUCGAAUGAUUACA
rnacentral:miRNA from 1 species